rnacentral:rRNA from 1 species
UACAGAGGUCUCAAGCGUUGUUCGGAUUCAUUGGGCGUAAAGGGUGCGUAGGCGGCGCGGUAAGUCGGGUGUGAAAUCUCGGAGCUUAACUCCGAAACUGCAUUCGAUACUGCCGUGCUUGAGGACUGGAGAGGAGACAGGAAUUUACGGUGUAGCGGUGAAAUGCGUAGAUAUCGUAAGGAAGACCAGUGGCGAAGGCGGGUCUCUGGACAGUUCCUGACGCUGAGGCACGAAGGCCAGGGGAGCAAACGGG